UACGGAGGGGGCAAGCGUUAUUCGGAGUCAUUGGGCGUAAAGGGCGCGUAGGCGGCUUGGCAAGUCAAAGGUGAAAUCCCUCGGCCCAACCGAGGAACUGCCUUUGAUACUGCCUCGCUUGAGGCCGGGAGAGGGUAGCGGAAUUCCCAGUGUAGCGGUGAAAUGCGUAGAUAUUGGGAGGAACACCAGUGGCGAAGGCGGCUACCUGGACCGGUUCUGACGCUGAUGCGCGAAAGCGUGGGGAGCAAACAGG
rnacentral:rRNA from 1 species